rnacentral:rRNA from 1 species
UACCAGCUCUCCGAGUGGUGUGGAUGUUUAUUGGGCCUAAAGCAUCCGUAGCUGGCUGGACAAGUCCCCUGUUAAAUCCACCGAUUUAAUCGUUGGAGUGCGGGGGAUACUGUUCGGCUAGGGGACGGGAGAGGCAGACGGUAUUUUCGGGGUUGGGGUGAAAUCCUAUAAUCCCGGGAAGACCACCAGUGGCGAAGGCUGUCUGAUAGAACGCGCCCGACGGUGAGGGAUGAAAGCUGGGGGAGCGAACCGGAUUAGAUACCCGGGUAGUCCCAGCUGUAAACGAUGCAGGCUAGGUGUUUGGGCGGCCACGUGCCGCUCUAGUGCCGCAGGGAAGCCGUUAAGCCUGCCGCCUGGGGAGUACGGCCGCAAGGCUGAAACUUAAAGGAAUUGGCGGGGGAGCACCACAAGGGGUGAAGCUUGCGGUUU